AGUGAACGCUGGCGGUAGGCCUAACACAUGCAAGUCGAACGGCAGCACAGUAAGAGCUUGCUCUUACGGGUGGCGAGUGGCGGACGGGUGAGGAAUACAUCGGAAUCUACUUUUUCGUGGGGGAUAACGUAGGGAAACUUACGCUAAUACCGCAUACGACCUACGGGUGAAAGCAGGGGAUCUUCGGACCUUGCGCGAUUGAAUGAGCCGAUGUCGGAUUAGCUAGUUGGCGGGGUAAGGGCCCACCAAGGCGACGAUCCGUAGCUGGUCUGAGAGGAUGAUCAGCCACACUGGACCUGAGACACGGUCCAGCCUCCUACGGGAGGCAGCAGUGGGGAAUAUUGGACAAUGGGCGCAAGCCUGAUCCAGCCAUACCGCGUGGGUGAAGAAGGCCUUCGGGUUGUAAAGCCCUUUUGUUGGGAAAGAAAAGCAGCAGGUUAAUACCCCGCUGUUCUGACGGUACCCAAAGAAUAAGCACCGGCUAACUUCGU
rnacentral:rRNA from 1 species